UACGGGGGGGGCAAGCGUUGUUCGGAAUUACUGGGCGUAAAGGGCUCGUAGGCGGCCAACUAAGUCAGACGUGAAAUCCCUCGGCUUAACCGGGGAACUGCGUCUGAUACUGGAUGGCUAGAGAUUGGGAGAGGGAUGCGGAAUUCCAGGUGUAGCGGUGAAAUGCGUAGAUAUCUGGAGGAACACCGGUGGCGAAGGCAGCUCGCUGGACGUGACUGACGCUGAGACGCGAAAGCGUGGGAGCAACAGGG
rnacentral:rRNA from 1 species